rnacentral:rRNA from 1 species
GAUGAACGCUGGCUGCAGGCUUAACACAUGCAAGUCGAGGGGACACGUUGAGAGAUCGUGCUCCCUUAGUUGUCGACGGACGCACGGGUGAGUAACGCGUAUCCAACCUGCCUCUGACGAAGAGAUAACCCGACGAAAGUCGGACAAAUAACUUAUGCUGUCGUCGGAAGGCAUCUGAUGACGACGAAAGAUUUCAGCGGCGAAUAAAGGGGUUGCGUCUGAUUAGCUUGUUGGGUGGGGAACGGCCCACCAAGGCGACGAUCACGAGGGGUUCUGAGAGGCAGGUCCCCCGCAUUGGAACUGAGGCCCAGUCCAAACUCCUACGGGAGGCAGGAGUGAGGAAUAUUAGUCAAUGGGCGUUAGCCUGAACCAGCCAAGUAGCGUGCAGGAUGACGGCGCUAUGGGUUGUAAACUGCUUUUAUGCGAGGAUUAAGUGAGUGACGUGUCCUUCAUUGCAGGUACCGAAUGAAUAAGGACCGGCUAAUUCCGUG